rnacentral:rRNA from 1 species
AUUGAACGCUGGCGGCAUGCUUUACACAUGCAAGUCGAACGGCAGCGCGGGGCAACCUGGCGGCGAGUGGCGAACGGGUGAGUAAUAUAUCGGAACGUACCCAGGAGUGGGGAGUAACGUAGCGAAAGUUACGCUAAUACCGCAUACGAUCUAUGGAUGAAAGACAGGGGAGUCGCAAGACCUUGUGCUCAUGGAGCGGCCGAUAUCUGAUUAGCUAGUU